CUUGAACUUGCUACCCCCUUUCCCUUGUACGUUGAACUUGAAGAACUCGCUCUAAGUCCAUAGAUGUUCUCCUCAACUCCAACGGCCAUAGAAACGGUAUCCCAAUCAAGAUCAUCUCCUUUAUACACUUGUUCAACUUCAUGAUUUUGGGGGGCUCCAGUUAACCAUUCAUUUGCCUCAUCAAUAUUGUCCAACAAAAUUUGAUCAAUAGUAUCGCGAGCUUCAUAACGUCGCCUCAAUGUUUUAUUGUAUUUAAUAUACACUAGAUCAUUGAGACG
rnacentral:lncRNA from 1 species